rnacentral:rRNA from 1 species
UGAGGAAUAUUGGUCAAUGGGCGAGAGCCUGAACCAGCCAAGUAGCGUGCAGGAUGACGGCCCUAUGGGUUGUAAACUGCUUUUACGCGGGGAUAAAGUGCGUGACGUGUCGCGCAUCGCAGGUACCGCGUGAAUAAGGACCGGCUAAUUCCGUGCCAGCAGCCGCGGUAAUACGGAAGGUCCGGGCGUUAUCUGGAUUUAUUGGGUUUAAAGGGAGCGCAGGCCGCCCGAUAAGCGUGUUGUGAAAUGUACCGGCUCAACCGGUGAGUUGCAGCGCGAACUGUCAGGCUUGAGUGCACGGUAAGCAGGCGGAAUUCAUGGUGUAGCGGUGAAAUGCUUAGAUAUCAUGAGGAACUCCGAUUGCGAAGGCAGCUUGCUGCAGUGCGACUGACGCUUAGGCGGGAAGGUGCGGGUAUCAAACAGG